rnacentral:rRNA from 1 species
CGGCAAACGGGUGCGGAACACGUACGCAACCUCCCCGGAACAGGUGAAUAGCCUUGCGAAAGUAAGAUUAAUACACCGUACCAUAUAGUUGUGGCAUCACGAUUAUAUUAUAGGUAGCAAUACCGGUUCCGGAUGGGCGUGCGCCUGAUUAGGUAGUUGGUGAGGGUAACGGCCUACCAAGCCUUCGAUCAGUAACUGGUGUGAGAGCACGACCAGUCACACGGGCACUGAGACACGGGCCCGACUCCUACGGGAGGCAGCAGUAAGGAAUAUUGGUCAAUGGACGCAAGUCUGAGCCAGCCAUGCCGCGUGCAGGAUGACGGCCCUCUGGGUUGUAAACUGCUUUUAUCUGGGACGAAAAACGGACUUUCUAGUUCACUUGACGGUACCAGAGGAAUAAGCACCGGCUAACUCCGUGCCAGCAGCCGCGGUAAUACGGAGGGUGCAAGCGUUAUCCGGAUUUACUGGGUUUAAAGGGUGCGUAGGUGGGCAGGUAAGUCAGUGGUGAAAUCUUCAAGCUUAACUUGGAAACUGCCAUU